rnacentral:tRNA from 1 species
GGGGAUGUGGCUCAGUGGUAAAGCACUUGCCUGGUAUGCAGGAGUGCCUGGGUUCCAUCUCCA